rnacentral:rRNA from 1 species
AACGAACGCUGACGGCGUGCCUAACACAUGCAAGUCGAACGAGAAAGUUCCGGUUCGCCGGGAUGAGUAAAGUGGCGCACGGGUGAGUAACGCGUGGGUAAUCUGCCUUUAGGUCUGGGAUAACACUGCGAAAGCGGUGCUAAUACCGGAUAAGCUUACGGUUUGAAAUGUCCGUGAGAAAAGAUGGCCUCUGACAUAAGCUAUCGCCUAUAGAUGAGCCCGCGUACCAUUAGCUAGUUGGUGGGGUAAAGGCCUACCAAGGCGACGAUGGUUAGCUGGUCUGAGAGGACGAUCAGCCACACUGGAACUGAGACACGGUCCAGACUCCUACGGGAGGCAGCAGUGGGGAAUAUUGCGCAAUGGGGGAAACCCUGACGCAGCGACGCCGUGUGAGUGAUGAAGGCUUUCGGGUCGUAAAGCUCUGUCGGAUGGGACGAAUAAAGGCUGUGAAAAUAUUGCAGUCUGAUGACGGUACCGUCGAAGGAAGCACCGGCUAACUCCG